GACGAACGCUGGCGGCGUGCUUAACACAUGCAAGUCGAACGGAAAGGCCCUGCUCUUGUGGGGUUCUCGAGUGGCGAACGGGGGAGUAACACGUGAGUAUCCUGCCCUUGUCUGUGGGAUAACUCUUGGAAACUGGGGCUCAUACCGGAUAUGAGCUCCUGCAGCGUGUUGGUGGUUGGAAAGUUUCGGCGUUUGGGGAUGGACUCGCGGCUUAUCGGCUUCUUGGUGUGGUAGUGGCUUACCAAGGGUUUGACGGGUAGGCGGCCUGAGAGGGUGACCGGCGACCAGGGGACUGAGAGAGGGAGCAGAAUGCAACGGGAGGCAGUGGUGGAGAAUAUUGCAGAGUGGGCGGGAGUCAGAUGCGGAAGCGCCGCGUGCGGGAUGCCGGGCUACGGGUUGUAAACCGAUUUGGCAUGUGACGAAGAGUGAGUGACGGUAAUGGGUAAGGAAGCACCGGCUAACUACGUG
rnacentral:rRNA from 1 species